UACGUAGGGGGCAAGCGUUGUCCGGAUUUAUUGGGCGUAAAGCGCGUGUAGGCGGCUAGACAGGUCCGCUGUGAAAACUCGAGGCUCAACCUCGAGAUGUCGGUGGAAACCGUUUGGCUAGAGUCCGGAAGAGGAGAGUGGAAUUCCUGGUGUAGCGGUGAAAUGCGUAGAUAUUACCAGGAACACCAAUGGCGAAGGCAGCUUGCUGGGCUUCUUCUGACACUGAGGUACGAAAGCGUGGGGAGCGAACAGG
rnacentral:rRNA from 1 species